UCGCCAAAAUUGCUGUGAUCUGUUUGCAAGUGAAAUCAUAUCACAGCCAUCUUGACGACU
rnacentral:pre_miRNA from 1 species